rnacentral:tRNA from 1 species
GGCCUGUUAGCUCAGUUGGUUAGAGCGUGGUGCUAAUAACGCCAAGGUCGUGGGUUCGAUCCCCCCACGGGCCA